GCGGACGUAGCUCAACGGUAGAGCUUGAAGGCUUCCCACCCUCAGGUUGCGGGUUCGAAUCCCGUCGUCCGCU
rnacentral:tRNA from 1 species